UUGCCAGGUAACCCAAUGAAAUAAUGUGUCAACUCGCGUUAGCAGGCAGCUUUUAAAUUAGACUUUUGAUUACAUGAAGGCAUGAGCUUACAGGAAGAGGGUCCCCAGGAGCCCCAACAGGAGACACUGCAGCAGACAGCAGUUAGAAUAAUUCAGAUGGCCUGGAGAAGACAUGUGUACAGAGAGGUCUUCAAGUAUUUCAAGGAGCUUAUCACCCAUUGCAACCAGCAGGAUCCACAGACAAUCCUCAAAACUGUCAAUCCUCGAGAGGCAGAGUUGCUGGAUGCUGCUGCUGGGGUGUUCAUCAGAUUUCGACUCGGAGGGAUUACUUUUCCUCCCAACAUCUAUUACAAGAUCUUCACCCAUCGGCCCAUUGCGGAUGUGUGUGCCAGCAGCCCAAAGGACUACACCCAGCUAGGCCUUAAAAGGCCUGUGGCCCGGCAGACCAACAAUAUCUGCCCUCUUAUGCAGGUGGACCGAUCAGGAUGGUACCAGCGUAUGGAGAACAACAGCUGGAGGCUCUUCUGUAGCAAGGUGGUUCCCACGGGUGAGCCCAUAGAGAUCGGUGCUGACAAAAAAAUGGACUUUCACCAUUCCAGGUUGCAGCGGCAACAGGAUGUAAACAAGUGGAGGAAAAAGAGGAAAAUUGAAUGGCUGAAGCAGAUGUAUAACCAUGGUCGUCUGGAGACUCAUUCAGUGUAUCGACACAUGGCAAAGCUGGUGGAGAAUUCAGCCCAGGAAGUGAUGGACACCACUGAAGAGAAGGGAGAUAAUGAAACACUGGAAUGGGAGCUGGAUGAUCUUCUGGCCUGGACCAACACUCUCAGCUUUGAAGAGUAUAUGGAGGAGUGGAGACGUUUGGCUUGCAGUCACUCCUCUGAGCAAAAGUUAGAUCCACAAGAGCAUGCUGGUGUGGCUGAUGAAGACAGUUAGGCAUAUAUCAGAUGAAUGGAUGGUAAUUUUGAGGAAAGGAGCUACUUGAAGAAGAAGGGUCUCAACACAAAGCUCAAAGAAAUCAAACUGCAAUUGACUUCACUCCUCUCACACCUGAACAGGUCAGUCUUUGUUAAAUUAGGUGAGAACACCUGUCUUUCUCUCAUAUAGUGCAUUGUUACUGUUCUACAAUAAUCAUAUACUUGUUAUCUGUUUGACUGGUCUACUGCUUUUGCUACAGCUUAAUUAACUUGUUUGUUUUUUUCAUGUAAAUAAGUUGGUUUCUGUACUGUGCUAUACGGUAAGUGUAUGUAUGUUUAUAGAGGCUAAUACAGCCUGAAAAAUAGUGUUUUUUCUCUUUACAUGUACUGAAGAGCUGGCCAGUCUGAAUGAUCUCCACUAACUCAUCUCUUUCCUUCCUCCCUCUCUCUUCCUGAAACCCAGCAGCACUGAACCAAAAGCAGCUGAAAUGGCAACCCUGAGGACUGGUGAUGCAGACGACUGGAUCAGAUCUCUUAUUCAAGAGUCCCACAAAGAGUUCUCUUACUGUCCUUACAGCCAACUCACAGAGUGGGAUCAGCCCUGUUAACAGAAGAUGGAAAGAUCUUCACAGUUUGGUGAUACGCCCGUCUUCAUGACCGAGGUGGAUGGAUCCUACACCAUGAUGACGUUGGAGCAGCUGCUUCCACUGUCAUGGAGUGCAGAUCUUUUGCCAUUUUAGUCAUCUAAAAUUCAUGCUUUUAAUUUAUAAAAACACAUGAUAGUAUAUUCUUCCCUUAAAAAUCAUAAAUGUGAUUUCUUAGGUAAGGUUGCUUGCCUAUUAUAUUAAUACCAUGCUGAAACUUUUGUACACAUAUACACACACGCAGGGCAUGAGGCUUAACAAUUCAAAGUGUUGUCCUGCAGACUUGGU